CCCUUAGAUGUCCUGGGCUGCACGCGCGCUACACUGAUGUGUCCAGUAAGCACCUAACCUCUUCCGAAAGGAACGGGUAACCUUUGCAAAGCACAUCGUGAUGGGGAUAGAUUAUUGCAAUUAUUAGUCUUGAACGAGGAAUUCCUAGUAAGCACAAGUCAUCAGCUUGUGUUGAUUACGUCCCUGCCCUUUGUACACACCGCCCGUCGCUCCUACCGAUUGAAUGUUCCGGUGAGCUCUUCGGACUGCGCAGUCUGCAGUUUCUGCGUUCCGUGCGGAAAGUUGCGCAAACCUUAACAUUUAGAGGAAGGAGAAGUCGUAACA
rnacentral:rRNA from 1 species